rnacentral:rRNA from 1 species
GACGUAGGGCGCGAGCGUUGUCCGGAUUUAUUGGGCGUAAAGAGCUCGUAGGCGGCUUGUCGCGUCGACUGUGAAAACCCGUGGCUCAACCAUGUGGUCUGCAGUCGAUACGGGCAGACUAGAGUGCGGUAAGGGAGACUGGAAUUCCUGGUGUAGCGGUGGAAUGCGCAGAUAUCAGGAGGAACACCGGUGGCGAAGGCGGGUCUCUGGGCAGUAACUGACGCUGAGGAGCGAAAGCGUGGGGAGCGAACAGG